rnacentral:lncRNA from 1 species
AUGGCGUUUAUGAGCGCGAAGCUCGAGCGCUCUGGGGUCUGGAGUGUCCCAGCUGAGCAGGUCAGCACCAACAGGUCAGCGUCAACAGGUCAACGCCCACAGGUCAGCACCAACAGGUCAGCACCAACAGGUCAACGCCCACAGGUCAACGCCCACAGGUCAGCACCAACAGGUCAGCACCAACAGGUCAGCGUCAACAGGUCAACGCCUCCAGGUCAGCGCCAACAGGUCAACGCCCACAGGUCAGCGCCAACAGGUCAGCGCCAACAGGUCAGCACCCACAGGUCAGCGUCAACAGGUCAACGCCUCCAGGUCAGCGCCAACAGGUCAACGCCCACAGGUCAGCGCCAACAGGUCAGCACCAACAGGUCAGCGUCAACAGGUCAACGCCUCCAGGUCAGCACCCACAGGUCAGCGCCAACAGGUCAACGCCUCCAGGUCAGCACCCACAGGUCAGCGCCAACAGGUCAGCGCCCACAGGUCAGCGUCAACAGGUCAACGCCCACAGGUCAACGCCAACAGGUCAACGCCAAGAGUCAACGCCCACAGGUAGGGGAGGUUGUUGUUGCACCAGGUUCCCUGCAGGAAAUCCAACGGGGGGAACGUUGCGGCCGUGAAGGAAAUAUUGGCAGAGCCAGACGUCGGGUUGCCAUGGCGACGCGCAUCAGCCAGGCUACUUUGCGAGAGAGAUUCUGACAAACGGAUCCGGCGGAACAGGCAGCGAGGUCGUGGGAUCACGUCCAGCCGGGGACGGAGGGACACGGGCUGCAGACAGCACGGACUCACAGACGGCUCCGUCCACAGGCCUGUUGCCUCUGAAUGAGGUGCACGAGGCACCAGUGUUCCUGAUUAUAGCAGAGCACGGUACAGCAUGUGCAGACUCUGAUUGGAACCAUGAUGCUGGCACACCUGCUGACAAUUAAAGCAAAGGCCGGGGCCGAGGCCUUUCCCAGUCGUGGAGCAUUAUCUUGUUUUGGUCUUGGACUUGUAUCACCGCCAUCUGCAUUUUGUUUUUACUGUACAUUUCUGCAGCUCCUCUAUUUGGUCUGGUCUGGAAUAUUUAAACGAUUCCAAUCACGCGCUGACAUCUCACGCGUCCUUCUUUUGGCCUAAAGGUUAGUCGGCUGCUCUGGAGACGAGGACGCAGCUGGUAAAGCUUUUACACCAUCUUAAUACAGUUUACCUUUAGUUAUGUGACGCAGCCCCGGCUCCGGGCUGUUUUACUACUUUUUGCUAUUAUCAAAUUUAUGAGCCUGACCGUGGAAAGCAGACUCAAUAUGCACUCAAUUUAUUUGUUAUGGCUUUUAAUGUGAAAAUAUUUAAUUGCUUUUGUCUUAAGUCAUAAAGCAUUCAUAAUGACUCCACUAGUAAUUCAGCACACGUGUCUUAUUUAAAUGACGAUUAAAAGAGCUUUUUUUCUCGACGGCCAGAGCUGUAAUUUACUGGCUUUGCUAUAAUUAGGUGCCUCCUGUGGUUUAUGCAGUGUAAUGUGUUAUCUGCUGUUUUGUUGGACUAAGGAUUUCACCUUAACGCACGGUUCUAAAAUGGGCGCGUUGUGGACGGUGGAACCUCUUCACAAACAGUUUCAUGCAGCAGGAGUCGGUGGAUGAGGCUCGUUUGAGGUUUGCUCUAAGUCCACAGUGUCAGUUUUAAACCCCUGCUACACUUGAUUACAGCAGCUGCAGGUUGUGUGUAUGUGUCCAUUCAGUGGAAUAUUUUAAAAUCCUUUAACAGUUUGAAGUUCCUGCUGUCAUUCCAGCGCGCAGGCGUUUACCUGGAUUCACUCGGGUCCAAGAGCUGUACCUUCCAGACAAUUAGUCAGUCAGAGCUCCAUCACCCAUUCAAAAAGCUUCUAUAAUAACCAGUGGGAUACCAAUUAGAAUAAUGUGCUCAUAUCUCAUAUGCCAGGUUUCACUUUCCAAUACCGAGGUCCAUUAAUAAGGUUGAGCGGCUGUCACAGACCAGCGUUCCGUCUGAAAUGGGUCAGAGGUUGCGAAAUCAAAUGGGAUGUUGAAAGUACAGGCGUGGGGAUGUGAGCUGUGAGUCUGCGAACACGUCUGGGUGAUGAGACCAGCGCCUGGGCUCUGAUCUGCAGAUAGCGCGUCAUGAUUCAGCCGGUGUCAGGGAUGUUUUGCAGAGGGUGCAUGCUGUACCGCCGCUCCUCCAACAGGCGAGAACACCCUAUAAAAAGCAUAUUGACUGAGGAGAACGGAGCCUCCACGUCUAGAUCCUUUCCCAUCUAGUCACUGCCCCGGAGGGUCAACACAGUGACUGUGGUCAUUGGGAAUGUUACCACACCCUCAUUGUGAAGAACAAACACGAUUCUGGCCGCGAUGGGUAAUAAAUGAGACCAAGUUCUUUACUAAGGCA